rnacentral:rRNA from 1 species
GAACGCUGGCGGCGUGCCUAACACAUGCAAGUCGAACGAGAAAGGGGCUUCGGUUCCAAGUAAAGUGGCGCACGGGUGAGUAACACGUAGGUAACCUGCCUCUAAGAUUGGGAUAACUUGUCGAAAGACGAGCUAAUACCAAAUAAGACCACAGUCUCCUCGGGGACAGAGGUCAAAGGUAGCCUCUAUUUAUAAGCUAUCGCUGAGAGAUGGGCCUGCGUACCAUUAGCUAGUUGGUGAGGUAACGGCUCACCAAGGCAAAGACGGUUAGCUGGUCUGAGAGGAUGAUCAGCCACACUGGUACUGAGACACGGACCAGACUCCUACGGGAGGCAGCAGUAAGGAAUAUUGGUCAAUGGGCGAAAGCCUGAACCAGCCAUGCCGCGUGCAGGAAGACGGCCCUAUGGGUUGUAAACUGCUUUUGCAGGGGAAUAAACCCCGGUACGUGUACCGGGCUGAAUGUACUCUGAGAAUAAGGAUCGGCUAACUCCGUGCCAGCAGCCGCGGUAAUACGGAGGAUCCAAGCGUUAUCCGGAUUUAUUGGGUUUAAAGGGUGCGUAGGCGGCCUAUUAAGUCAGGGGUGAAAGACGGUAGCUUAACUAUCGCAGUGCCUUUGGUACUGAUGGGCUUGAAUGGACUAGAGGUAGGCGGAAUGUGACAAGUAGCGGUGAAAUGCAUAGAUAUGUCACAGAACACCAAUUGCGAAGGCAGCUUACUAUGGUUUAAUUGACGCUGAGGCACGAAAGCGUGGGGA